rnacentral:rRNA from 1 species
UACGAAGGGGGCUAGCGUUGAUCGGAUUUACUGGGCGUAAAGCGCACGUAGGCGGAUCGUUAAGUCGGGGGUGAAAUCCUGGAGCUCAACUCCAGAACUGCCUUCGAUACUGGCGAGCUUGAGUCCGGAAGAGGUGAGUGGAACUCCUAGUGUAGAGGUGGAAUUCGUAGAUAUUAGGAAGAACACCAGUGGCGAAGGCGGCUCACUGGUCCGGUACUGACGCUGAGGUGCGAAAGCGUGGGGAGCAAACAGG